UACGGAGGGUGCAAGCGUUAUCCGGAUUCACUGGGUUUAAAGGGUGCGUAGGUGGGCAGGUAAGUCAGUGGUGAAAUCUCUGGGCUUAACCCGGAAACUGCCGUUGAUACUAUCUGUCUUGAAUGUAGUGGAGGUGAGCGGAAUAUGUCAUGUAGCGGUGAAGUGCUUAGAUAUGACAUAGAACACCAAUUGCGAAGGCAGCUCGCUACACAAUUAUUGACGCUGAGGCACGAAAGCGUGGGGAUCAAACAGG
rnacentral:rRNA from 1 species